UGGCCAGGUCGCACAGCAGUCACCUUACCGUGUCGAAAGGCGGACGCACACUUCUGCAGGAAGGUCAUCUAGUUCCGCCAACAUGAAGCUGCUUUGUGCACUAGCCCUCGUUGCCCUUGGGCUUCCAUUCGGCAGCGCUUACCUUGGUGGAUUCUAUGGAGGCUUUGGCGGCCUCGGCGGUUGGGGUGGCGGUCUCGGUGCCAUCAUGGGCCCAGGAGCUUAUCCCGGUUUCUAUGGCCUCAACAGCGUGCACCUCUUGGGCGGCAGGUUCCACCAUAUCUUCGGAAGAUUCCCACCACCACCUGGCAUUGGAGCUGCCGAGCGCCGAGGAACUCUGAGUCCAUACCCUCUUGACAUCAACACUGUCCAGGACCCUGUCACUGGCCACCCCAUGGUGCGCGUGGUCUACGGCGGUGUCUUGCGGGAGCGCGUCGUACCCGUACCAGUUCCAAUUCCUCAGGAUGUGCCUGUCCCAGUCCCCAUCCCAGUACCUCAGCCAUACCCAGUCCCACAACCACGACAAGUUCCUUACCCAGUGCCUAGUCCCUACCCUGUCCCAAUCCACAGUAACACCGAAGUUCACAAGACCGACGUUGUCGCUGCAACCCCAGGAGGACCAGUCCUGCUUGAUUCCGGUGUCACCAACAUCCAGCCAGGUGCACCACAGGUGGCGGCCUAAGCUGUAUCUGAUAGAAAGUAGUAACAACAAUUUAAUCAUUGAGCUUAACGUAAAUUAUGCAUUACAAAUAAAUAAACUUUUGUUUGGCAGUGAUAAGCCUCAUCUUCCUAAUUUCAUUGUUUCAAACACAUUCAUAAAUAAAUAUUCGGCGUAUCCUGCC